GGGGAAAAAUUAAUAAUGGGGGUUAUUAAUAAAAAUAAUUUUUUAUAGGGGAAAAUUUUAGUAUAUGAAUAGAAAUAAUUGAAAAAUUUAUAGUAUAAUAGUAUUGUGAAAGAAUUUUGAAAAUAAUUGAAAAUAAAUUAAUUUAAAAGUAAUUUUUAUUUAGUGUAUCUUGUGUAUCAGAGUUUAUCAAAAAAAUGUUUUAUUUAAAAUUUUUUCGAAUUUAAAAGAGAUAAUUAAUUAUAAAAGUUAAUGUUAUAUAAUUAUUUUAAAUAAUUAAUUUGAAAUGAAAUGUUAAUCGUUUUUAAAUAUAUCUAAUUUUUUUAGAAAAAAAUUUAAUUUUAAAUUAAAUUAAAAGUAAGUUUAUUAAAAAUUAAUUUACUUUUAAUUUAAUUUAAUAUUUUAAGGGAUAAGCUUUAAUUUAAAUAUUUAUAAUUUAAAGUAAAUAAAAUUAAAAUUUAUAUUAUUUAUAUUGUAAAUAAUUUUUAAUUUAUUAUAAAUAAUUUUUAAUUUAUUUAAAAUUUAAUUUUAAAUUUAAUUUUUUAUAAAAUAAAUUAUAUUUAAUGAAUUAAUAUUAGCUAUAAUGAUAAAAUUAGUAUAAAUUAUAAAUUAAAAUUAUUUUAUAAUUGUUAAUUUAAUUUAAGGAAUUCGGCAAAAUUUUAUAUUCACUUGUUUAUCAAAAACAUGUCUUUUUGUUUUAAUUUAAAGUCUAAUCUGCCCACUGAUAAAAAUUAAAGGGCUGCAGUAUUUUGACUGUACAAAGGUAGCAUAAUCAAUAGUCUCUUAAUUGGUGACUUGUAUGAAAGAUUGGAUGAGAUAUAAUCUGUCUUAAUUUUAUAUUUUGAAUUUAAUUUUUUAAUUAAAAAGUUAAAAUGUAUUAAAAAGACGAGAAGACCCUAUAGAGUUUAAUAACAAAUUUAAUUAAAAAUAUUUAUAAAUUUAAAUGUUUAGAAUUAUUUAAUUUAUUUAGUUGGGGUGAUUAAAAAAUUAAAUUAACUUUUUUUUUAUAAAAACCAUAAAUAAGUGAGUUAGUGAUCCAUUAUUAAUGAUUAAAAGAAAAAAUUACCUUAGGGAUAACAGCGUAAUUUUUUUUUUUAGUUCGUAUAAAAAAAAGAGUUUGCGACCUCGAUGUUGGAUUAAGAUAAAAUUUAAAUGCAAAAGUUUAAAGAUUUUGAUCUGUUCGAUCAUUAAAAUCUUACAUGAUCUGAGUUCAAACCGGUGUAAGCCAGGUUGGUUUCUAUCUUUUAAAAUAUUAAAUAUUUUAGUACGAAAGGAUUGAAUAUUUAAAUUAAAUUUUUUUUUAUGAAUAUUAUUAAUUUUAUUAAUAAUUAAUAUUAUAGUAUAUUAUAUAUAGGAUAUAAAG
rnacentral:rRNA from 1 species